rnacentral:rRNA from 1 species
GACGAACGCUGGCGGCGUGCUUAACACAUGCAAGUCGAACGGAAAGGCCCUGCUUUUGUGGGGUGCUCGAGUGGCGAACGGGUGAGUAACACGUGAGUAACCUGCCCUUGACUUUGGGAUAACUUCAGGAAACUGGGGCUAAUACCGGAUAGGAGCUCCUGCUGCAUGGUGGGGGUUGGAAAGUUUCGGCGGUUGGGGAUGGACUCGCGGCUUAUCAGCUUGUUGGUGGGGUAGUGGCUUACCAAGGCUUUGACGGGUAGCCGGCCUGAGAGGGUGACCGGCCACAUUGGGACUGAGAUACGGACCAGACUCCUACGGGAGGCAGCAGUGGGGAAUAUUGCACAAUGGGCGGAAGCCUGAUGCAGCAACGCCGCGUGCGGGAUGACGGCCUUCGGGUUGUAAACCGCUUUCGCCGGUGACGAAGCGUGAGUGACGGUAAUGGGUAAAGAAGCACCGGCUAACUACGUG